AAUUAAGACAGCAAAGAGAGGGGUGUGUAUGGAUUUGGAGCAGGGAUUGGAAAUUAGAUAUAUAAGUAGGGUGAAAUUUUAACAGGGGGUCAACAGAAAGACUAGGGAAAAUCUAAAGCUGGAGUAGGGA